GUGGCUGCUACUCUUGUAUAUCACUAUUACUAAAAUCAUGAUAACCAUCAUGCCGGCAAGCUAGCAACUCCUAGAUAGUCCAAUGAUAAUCUAAAAUUUAGUUGCAUAAACUGCAAGCAAGUUCAGAAAGUAACUUAGGUUUGCGUGCAAAAACAAAUCCCUCAAAGAAAAAUUGAAAUAAGAAGUGCAUAACAAGAAUAGAAGCAAGUUUAGUUAGAGAUUCUAAUGCAGGUGCGGCAUUCUAAACAUAAGAUUCCUACUACUAUAGUCUAGGAUGCAAAUCAUGCUGCACUAAACAGUAGUGAAUUCAUAGCCAACAAAACGAAGCCACACUUGCAGAUCAUAGCAAUCCAGUGAACCACCAUUCUCUCGAUGCUUAAUAACAUGCAAAAUACAGGUAUAUUUUCAUCAAGUCCAAUGUACCAGCAAAUAUGAUCCCUUCUUGAAGCUUCCAUUAUCACAACAAAUAAUAACCAACAAGCUGUCAAAACAGACAUGACAAUUUCAGCUAAGCGGAUAAAUCCAUCUAACGUUCCAUCCUAUCAAGGACUGCAUUUUACCAACCACAGGCACCAUUAAUAAACUAAUCAUAGCAUAAGAAGGUGUUGAAUUGAGUUUUCUAUGCCACCAUGUGAGAGGAUUGCCUGCAUUCACAUUAUUCUUCCAUGCGGUCCUCCGUUUGUGAUUGAGAAACCUUUAUUUUCAUCUUUGGAAGAGUGAGGGAAGGAUCCUCUUGGAGGGCAGCAGGUGCUUUGACCAAAUGAAUACU
rnacentral:lncRNA from 1 species